GUGGGGAAUCUUGCGCAAUGGGCGAAAGCCUGACGCAGCCAUGCCGCGUGAAUGAUGAAGGUCUUAGGAUUGUAAAAUUCUUUCACCGGGGACGAUAAUGACGGUACCCGGAGAAGAAGCUCCGGCUAACUUCGUGCCAGCAGCCGCGGUAAUACGAAGGGGGCUAGCGUUGCUCGGAAUUACUGGGCGUAAAGGGCGCGUAGGCGGACAGCUUAGUCAGAGGUGAAAGCCCAGGGCUCAACCUUGGAAUUGCCUUUGAUACUGGCUGUCUUGAGUUUGGGAGAGGUGAGUGGAACUCCGAGUGUAGAGGUGAAAGUCGUAGAUAUUCGGAAGAACACCAGUGGCGAAGGCGACUCACUGGCCCAAUACUGACGCUGAGGCGCGAAAGCGUGGGGAGCAAACAGGAUUAGAAACCCGGGUAGUCC
rnacentral:rRNA from 1 species